AACGCUGGCGGCGUGCUUAGCACAUGCAAGUCGAACGGAAAGGCCCUGCUUUUGUGGGGUGCUCGAGUGGCGAACGGGUGAGUAACACGUGAGUAACCUGCCCUUGACUUUGGGAUAACUUCAGGAAACUGGGGCUAAUACCGGAUAGGAGCUCCUGCUGCAUGGUGGGGGUUGGAAAGUUUCGGCGGUUGGGGAUGGACUCGCGGCUUAUCAGCUUGUUGGUGGGGUAGUGGCUUACCAAGGCUUUGACGGGUAGCCGGCCUGAGAGGGUGACCGGCCACAUUGGGACUGAGAUACGGCCCAGACUCCUACGGGAGGCAGCAGUGGGGAAUAUUGCACAAUGGGCGGAAGCCUGAUGCAGCAACGCCGCGUGCGGGAUGACGGCCUUCGGGUUGUAAACCGCUUUCGCCUGUGACGAAGCGUGAGUGACGGUAAUGGGUAAAGAAGCACCGGCUAACUACGUG
rnacentral:rRNA from 1 species